UCCGCCUGAGAACUACUAGCACAAACGCUUAAAACUCUAAGGACUUGGCGGUGCCCCAAACCCACCUAGAGGAGCCUGUUCUAUAAUCGAUAAUCCACGAUCCACCCAACCACCCCUUGCCAACACAGCCUACAUACCGCCGUCGCCAGCCACACUCUAAAUGAAAGGCCAACAGUGAGCUCAACAGUACCACCACUAGCAAGACAGGUCAAGGUCAUAGCCCAUGGGGUGGAAGAAAUGGGCUACAUUUUCUAAUAUACAAUAAACGAAAAAGGACGUGAAACCCGUCCCUUGGAAGGAGGAUUUAGCCAGUAA
rnacentral:rRNA from 1 species